CAAUUAAUUCUUUUACAUUUAAUAAAUUCCGCCUUGACAAACAGAAUGAUUUUUAAUAAUAAAAAGAAAAACAUUAAAAAAACUGUCCCCAAACUUUGACCGGUAGUGGAAAUUCAGUCAAUUUUGUCUGAACCGUUUCUUUUUAUUCUCCCUGAGCUCUUUGUGACCUCUUUUAGGAGUGACGGGUGAGGUGGACUCGCGCACCAUUGAGGUGUUGGCGAGCUGGAUGCUGGAGCACCCCAUUGCAGAGGAGCAGCAGGCAGGAGAGGGUUCAUCUACAGGGGGCGCCACUGAUACACCCUCAUCUGAAGGGCCCGAGACGGUCCAGUGCCCUGAGUCCCCUGCACCUCUGACCCUGCAGGACAGCCGUGAACCUAACGAUAGUCUGUUAGCAGGUUUGGACCUGGUGGAGAGAGAGAACUUUUUAGAUGUUCACCUCACCAGAAACAGACCUCCACCUGCACGGAGACAGCGGUCUGGAGUAGGACAAAGAACGUCCUUUAGGAGAGCAGACUCCCCGUCACCCAGUCCUGUUCCAGCGCUGUACAGACAGGAGGUUGGAGUGGCGGAAUGGCCGGAGAGGGCUGAAACGCACCCGUUUGCUGCUGAAGAAGACUCCGAGCUGGGCUACAUGGAUGAUCCAUACCAGGAGGAGCCCUACGAGGAGCUGCUUACCCCAGAGUUCAUCACCUCUGAGAGGGACACACUCUGGAUGGUAGAGGGAAGAGAAGAGCACCCAGAGCCACAUGAGAUGGUGGAGUGUGAGCUGUGUAACACACUCACCCUGCAGUUCAACAACCACAUGAAGCGCCAUCACCCAGGCUGUGGUCAGAGCGCCGGCCGCAGGGGUUACCGCAGCAACGGGGCCUAUGUGGACGGCUGGUUCGGCGGUGAAUGUGGAUCCGGCAGCCCAUACUACCUCCUGUGCAGUACAUGCAGGGAAAAGUAUCUGGCCUUAAACAUGGGAGUUAUGAGCUCCAAACAGGACAGGUGAGAGUGAAUGAUUUUUUUGUGCUACUUUUGCUAUUUAACAACCUAUAUAUGAAGAGUUAUUAGUUACUCAUAAUUUAUAAUUAUGAAAUGACAAAUUUUCACCAAUCAUGUUUUUUAUUGAUCACAUGAGUUCAUUUCAAAAUAAUAAUAAUAAAAAAACUUUUUUACUUAUUCUAUUUUUUAAAAUCUUUUUCAGGGCAAAAGGUUUGGUGUCUGAUCUGAUUGGUCAAUUGGACAGUACAUCAGAAGGUAUAUUGUACCGGUGAAUAAUUAAAACCUGUGGAGUUUAUUUUGUUAAUGUCUGAUGAUGUAAAUGUGUGUUUGUUAGAUGAAUGGGAUCCAGUUAACCAGGAGGACUCCGACUCAGACCGGCUCACAGGUUUGGAGGAUUUCGGGAUUCUCCUGAGGCCUUUGGGUCUGAGUGAGAAGAAGCCUGUGCCUGAACCCAUUCCGUUCACUGAGCACGACCCACUCGGAGCCCUCGUGAGCGGAGCAGGCAGUGGAGGAGAAAACCUGCUCUACAGAGGUUCACUUUGUUUCAGAUUCAACAAUAUAGCAAUACAACAAUACAACAAUAUAGUUCAAAAUAUAGCCUAUGCAUGUCCUGUUUUUGUUCUAUCGAUCUAUUGAUUGAUCUUUUUUAAUCAUGUAUCUAUCAUUGUCUGUCACAAAAAUCUGUCCAUCUCUACCAUCUUUUAUAUCAUUCUACUCUAUCUAUUGUACUAUUGAUCUGUCUUUUGAUCUUUUUGUCUGUCUGUCUGUCGUUAUGUCUGUCUGUCUUUCUGUCAUUAUGUCUGUCUGUCUGUCUGUCUGUCUGUCUCCUGAUAUCUAUCUAUCUAUCUAUCUAUCUAUCUAUCUAUCUAUCUAUCUAUCUAUCUAUCUAUCUAUCUAUCUAUCUAUCUAUCUAUCUAUCUAUCUAUCUGUCUGUCUGUCUGUCUGUCUGUCUGUCUGUCUGUCUGUCUGUCUGUCUGUCUGUCUGUCUGUCUGUCUGUCUGUCUGUCUGUCUGUCUGUCUGUCUGUCUGUCUGUCUGUCUGUCUGUCUGUCUGUCUGUCUGUCUGUCUGUCUGCCUGUCUGCCUGUCUGUCAUUCUGUCUUUCAUUUUUCUGUCUGUCUAUCUUUCUGUCUACCUGUCUUUUUGUCUGCCAUUCUAGUUGUCUACCUGUCUGUCUGUUUAACUGUCUUUCUGUCUGUCUGUUGUUCUU
ensembl:lincRNA